UGGGGAAUUUUGGACAAUGGGGGCAACCCUGAUCCAGCCAUUCCUCUUGAGUUAAUAAUUCCUUCUUGUUGUAAAUCUCUUUCGUCCGUUAAUAAAUCUCAUAGUUUAAUACCCUGUUUUUAUUACGUUACCUUAAUAAUAAUCACCUGCUAACUACGUGCCAGCAGCCGCGGUAAUACGUAGGGUGCGAGCGUUAAUCGGAAUUACUGGGCGUAAAGCGUGCGCAGGCGGUUUCGUAAGACAGAGGUGAAAUCCCCGGGCUCAACCUGGGAACUGCCUUUGUGACUGCGAAGCUAGAGUACAGCAGAGGGGGGUGGAAUUCCACGUGUAGCAGUGAAAUGCGUAGAGAUGUGGAGGAACACCGAUGGCGAAGGCAGCCCCCUGGGCCGAUACUGACGCUCAUGCACGAAAGCGUGGGUAGCAAACA
rnacentral:rRNA from 1 species